AUGCAUACAAACACAGAUUCACACAAUGCAUCCUUUACACACAACCAGAAACACACAAUACAUCCCUUAUACACAAAUACACACUGCUUCCACUACACACAAACACACUGCAUCACCUGCACAAACUGGUAUCCCUAUACACUACAUACCAUAAGCACACAUAUUCGAUCCUCUACAACAGGGGUUCUCAACCCAGUCCUCAGGACCCGCCACUAACUAGGGAUUGGGG